GCAGCAAAAAAAAAAAGGACCAACAAAUCCGACCACCUAACUCGCCGGCGAUUAUGUCACCGACCGGAAACAUCCGACGCAAGACGAGACGCGAUUGCAGAAUGGUACAUGAUAUCAUGAAAAUUAGAGCUCUGCAUCGUCUUUCUCCUUAGCUCUUUCGCCUUAUCUUCCGUGAAACCUCCCGGCUGAAACUUAGAUCUGCAACGACCCGUUUCUGGAUCCGAUUUUAAACCCGAAAUCUCCCUCACCGGCCCGGUUCUAAUAGCGCUACUGCUGGAACCGGAAUCGAUAUAGUCCGGUUCAGAGGACCAUCCAAAGAGUGGGGUCCACCAGGAUGACCCGGAAGUUGGUUUUUGACGGUUCAAAUCGGGGUUAACCCGAUUAACAGAUGAUUGAACUGGAGCAGAACAAAAACAAGAAAAUGAAGUUGCCAUUGUUGAUGGUAAAGAGAGAAAAUAGCAAUGCUU
rnacentral:misc_RNA from 1 species